GACGAACGCUGGCGGCGUGCUUAACACAUGCAAGUCGAACGGAAAGGCCUGCUUUCCCUUGUGGAUUGCGGGUACUCGAGUGGCGAACGGGUGAGUAACACGUGAGUGAUCUGCCCCCAACUUGGGUAUAAGCCUGGGAAACUGGGUCUAAUUCCCGAUAGGACUGCAGGGUGGUGCCUGUGGUGGAAAACGAUUUUCUAGUGGUUGGGGAUGAGCUCGCGGCCUAUCAGCUUGUUGGUGGGGUAAUGGCCUACCAAGGCGGCGACGGGUAGCCGGCCUGAGAGGGUGGACGGCCGCAUUGGGACUGAGAUACGGCCCAGACGCCUACGGGAGGCAGCAGUGGGGAAUAUUGCACAAUGGGCGGAAGCCUGAUGCAGCGACGCCGCGUGGGGGAUGACGGCCUUCGGGUGGUAAACUCCUUUCGACCGCGAGGAAGCCACCUGGUUGGAAGGGUGGUGACGGUAGUGGUAGAAGAAGCACCGGCUAACUACGUG
rnacentral:rRNA from 1 species